CAGCAGCCGCGGGAAUACGUAGGGUGCAAGCGUUAAUCGGAAUUACUGGGCGUAAAGCGUGCGCAGGCGGUUAUAUAAGACAGAUGUGAAAUCCCCGGGCUUAACCUGGGAACUGCAUUUGUGACUGUAUAGCUAGAGUACGGCAGAGGGGGAUGGAAUUCCGCGUGUAGCAGUGAAAUGCGUAGAUAUGCGGAGGAACACCGAUGGCGAAGGCAAUCCCCUGGGCCUGUACUGACGCUCAUGCACGAAAGCGUGGGGAGCAAACAGGAUUAGAUACCCCCGUAGUCCCUGUCUCUUAUAA
rnacentral:rRNA from 1 species